UUGUUGAUUUUGUUUUUCAUGUGGAACCCUAAAUCUUGGAUAAAAUCGGACUCCGAUCAUUCGUGAAACAACAGAGAUAUGCAUCCCUUGCACAACAGUCCUUCAUUUUUAAAGCUUAUUGAUGAAGAUGACCCGAUAUUUUUGGUGAAGAGCUUCUUUCAGACUCCUUCCCCUACAAGGAACUAUUGAAUGGGUUCCUAUGAGAAGUUGAAGAAAAGUUAUGGAUAAUGAAAACAAUGCUCCUUCGUUAUUAAAGUCGAUUGAGGACUAUGAUCCUAUAUUUUUCGAAUUGUUCGUCGACCAAAAACAGUUAUGGAUCAUGAAACAACGCUCCUUCGUGGUUAAAGUUGAUUGAGAACUAUGAUCCUAUAUUUUUGGAAAUACCAUAUGAUUUUGCAACCUUAUUGUGGGGAGAACAACUUCCAUAUGUCAAUGUCUUAAAAUUAGUGAUGAUGAUUUAUCUUAUGGGUCCUAAAAACAACUCUCAUUCGUUGUUAAAGUUGAUUGAGGAAUAUGAUCCUAUAUUUUUGGUGUUUAUUUUGGAUGGUCCGGAGUUUUUGGCUGCAACUAUGUUGGACAGAGAUAUGCUUGCUAUUGCUGUAAAUUGAUACCAUGUCGGUUGGUUUUGCUUGGUAAG